AUGCCAUGAUGGGGGCAUGCAGUUAUGUAUUCUUGGAGGUGCUCCUAUGCCUCCAAGAUGGACUUGUCAUUCUGCUGUUGGAAACUUGAUAUCUUAUUCUAGAGGGC
rnacentral:snoRNA from 1 species